rnacentral:tRNA from 3 species
GGCCCUGUCGUCUAGCCCGGUCCAGGACACAUGAUUCUCAUUCAUGUAACACGGGUUCAAAUCCCGUCGGGGCUGCUA